UACGUAGGGGGCUAGCGUUGUCCGGAAUUAUUGGGCGUAAAGCGCGUGUAGGCGGUCCGGUAAGUCCGCUGUGAAAGUCGGGGGCUCAACCCUCGGAUGCCGGUGGAUACUGUCGGGCUUGAGUACGGAAGAGGCGAGUGGAAUUCCACGUGUAGCGGUGAAAUGCGUAGAGAUCGGCAGGAACACCCAGGGAGAAAUCAGCCGCCUGGGCAAGUGCUGACGCUGAGGUGCGAAAGCGUGGGGAGCGAACCGG
rnacentral:rRNA from 1 species